CCACCAUUUGAAAUUGUUAUUUACUGUUAAUAUUCACCACUCAACUCUAUCCAUCCAUCUUUUACCAUGGUGAUGAAUGUUAAUUAACAACAACAAUCACCUUAAUCCACCACCCAGCUUCGGGCCUAGGUGAAAAGCACAAGUAGAACUCUAUCAGGCUGCUGUAAUAUAUAUAUAUAUAUAAAGUUUAUGGGCACUUUUCAUUACUUUUAGAUAUCACUAAUUAUAAUUUUUGACACCUCAAUGUAGUUAAUACAUAGUUAGCAUAUUAAUCUUCCAGACACAAUUUAUUGCUCUGCCUUGCUUUCAAGCUGUGGUUGGUAAGGGCCCUGCUACGGCCUACGUUUGUAUAGCUCUUCAGGAUGCUGCUAAACAUGGUCCAUGACUAAACCUCCAAAGUGCUACAAUAAAACAAGUUGAUAAAGAAGCAAUAACAUCCUGGUUUGUUCUCUGUAGGCUGCUGUACUAUGUUAAAUGUCUUUUCAUCAGUUGUAUCAUGUCAAGCUUAAUAUAUGAUUGCAUAAACUAGCUACUAACUUGUGUGUACUUAGAGGCCUGCAGCCCUGAAACACAAAUCUCCUAGCUCUGCCAGAGCCGUUUCUGUUCUGAAAACACCCCAGUUCCUCGGUAGCCUGCAGGGACAUCAUUCAGAAAGAGAUUCAUUCACUGUGAGGUAUCUAAACGGAAUACGGAACUGCAGGGAAGCUUCACUGCUAACACAAAGCACCAAGACUGCACCAAAGAGGGGACAAGGGAGUGCUUUUUGGAUAGAGAAAUAAAUCUGCAAUAUCACCUGCCAGGCAGUAACAGCUGGCUCUUGCAGGAAAAGCCAGUAUCUUAACUCUUGGACCUCGAUGGAUUCAAUGAUUUUUUGAGAAAUUCUGAGAAAGAAAUGGAGCACAGCAAUGCAGCUCAGGAUCAAGCAAGCCGGCUAACAUCUCUACUCAUUAGAAAAGAUGAAAACAAAACCACUGCAAGUUCAAUCAAAAGUUCUACUGAAUAAAGCAUAAGAAGAAUGUUUUGAAACGAAUUUUAGUUAAGCUACUGAGUAAUCACUUCUCUUGUAUAUUUAAAACCAAUUAACACUUUUAUAAUGCUUUGAAUAUGAAGGUUCUACAGACUAACGUUUUAAAGAAGUUCUUCAAUUCCCUGCACAUUUAGCAGAAAAAGAAACCAUCUCAUAUUAAAAAGUUUGGAAAUAGUGAAUCACAAAGCCUAUAAGCUGAUCCAAAUGAAUGAGA